UGGGGAAUCUUGGACAAUGGGGGCAAGCCUGAUCCAGCCAUGCCGCGUGAGUGACGAAGGUCUUCGGAUUGUAAAGCUCUUUUAGCAGGGAAGAUAAUGACGGUACCUGCAGAAUAAGCCCCGGCUAACUUCGUGCCAGCAGCCGCGGUAAUACGAAGGGGGCUAGCGUUGUUCGGAAUUACUGGGCGUAAAGCGCACGUAGGCGGAUUGAUAAGUUAGAGGUGAAAUCCCGGGGCUCAACCUCGGAACUGCCUUUGAUACUGUUAGUCUCGAGUCCGAUAGAGGUGAGUGGAAUUCCUAGUGUAGAGGUGAAAUUCGUAGAUAUUAGGAAGAACACCAGUGGCGAAGGCGGCUCACUGGAUCGGUACUGACGCUGAGGUGCGAAAGCGUGGGGAGCAAACAGGAUUAGAUACCCAAGUAGUCCCUGAGCGGGCUGGCAAGGCGCAU
rnacentral:rRNA from 1 species